GGGAUGUGGCUCAGCGGAAGAGAGCUUGUCUAGCACGCUUGAGGCCCAGGGUUCAAUUCCCAGCCCCCA
rnacentral:tRNA from 1 species